rnacentral:rRNA from 1 species
AUUGAACGCUGGCGGCAUGAUUUACACAUGCAAGUCGAACGGUAACAGGCCGCAAGGUGCUGACGAGUGGCGAACGGGUGAGUAAUGCAUCGGAACGUGCCCAGUCGUGGGGGAUAACUACUCGAAAGAGUAGCUAAUACCGCAUACGAUCUAUGGAUGAAAGCGGGGGACCGUAAGGCCUCGCGCGAUUGGAGCGGCCGAUGUCAGAUUAGGUAGUUGGCGGGGUAAAGGCUCACCAAGCCAACGAUCUGUAGCUGGUCUGAGAGGACGACCAGCCACACUGGGACUGAGACACGGCCCAGACUCCUACGGGAGGCAGCAGUGGGGAAUUUUGGACAAUGGGCGCAAGCCUGAUCCAGCGAUGCCGCGUGCAGGAAGAAGGCCUUCGGGUUGUAAACUGCUUUUGUACGGAACGAAACGGCUCUGGUUAAUACCCGGGGCUAAUGACGGUACCGUAAGAAUAAGCACCGGCUAACUACGUG